rnacentral:rRNA from 1 species
UACGAAGGGGGCUAGCGUUGCUCGGAAUCACUGGGCGUAAAGGGUGCGUAGGCGGGUCUUUAAGUCAGGGGUGAAAUCCUGGAGCUCAACUCCAGAACUGCCUUUGAUACUGGGAGACUUCGAGUCCGGGAGAGGUGAGUGGAACUGCGAGUGUAGAGGUGAAAUUCGUAGAUAUUCGCAAGAACACCAGUGGCGAAGGCGGCUCACUGGCCCGGUACUGACGCUGAGGUGCGAAAGCGUGGGGAGCAAACAGG